rnacentral:rRNA from 1 species
CCUACGGGUGGCAGCAGUGGGGAAUAUUGCACAAUGGGGGAAACCCUGAUGCAGCGACGCCGCGUGAGGGAAGAAGGAUUUCGGUAUGUAAAGUUCUAUCAGCAGGGAAGAAAAUGACGGUAUCUGAUGAAUAAGCCCCGGCUAACUACGUGCCAGCAGCCGCGGUAAUACGGAGGGGGCAAGCGUUAUCCGGAUUUACUGGGGGUAAAGGGAGCGUAGGCGGCAGAGCAAGUCUGAAGUGAAAUGCUGGGGCUUAACCCCAGAACUGCUUUGGAAACUGUUCAGCUAGAGUGCAGGAGAGGUAAGUGGAAUUCUUAGUGUAGCGGUGAAAUGCGUAGAUAUUAGGAGGAACACCAGUGGCGAAGGCGGCUUACUGGACUGUAACUGACGUUGAGGCUCGAAAGCGUGGGGAGCAAACAGGAUUAGAUACCCGGGUAGUC